rnacentral:lncRNA from 1 species
CCUUAACCGGCAUGGCAUCAGAAAUCCUUGGAAGAGGAAGUAAACCAUGGCCACAGUUGGGGUUCCCCAGUGUCUGGUGGGCUGGGGGUCUGUAGUGGAUGGCAGACUGCAGGGGAGGAACAACAGAGGCCGGAGAGCUCAUCACCCUGAGUGAGAAAAAGGUUUCACUGGACAGGGAAGGGGUCCGCCGAACAGGGCAGAGGGAGGAGUGCUAUUUGGAAUGUUGUGAGGCUGGGCAUGACCACUGGGGCUUGGUGCACCUCUACCCUCACUCCCUCAGGCCUCAGGGCCUUCCUGGUGGAAAGGGAAACAUUUGGGGUAUAGGGCAAGAACGGGCUCGCUAGGGCACAGACAUCUCUGCUGUGGGAACUCCUUAUGAAAGAGCUGAGAAUGAGAAACAGAACAUGCUUCCCCACCUCAAGGAGAGAGAGAUGUCAGAGAACCAUGGACCAGGGGGCAGGCAGAGAGGCAGCAAGUGACGGUGAGAUGAGUGGCAUUGGCAGCAGCCCCGACCAUGUGGGCAGCAACCCCACCCGGCUUCUUCUCAGACUCUCACUGAAGGUGAGGGCACGUGGAGAUGUGGGAAGUUCCAGAUGAGAGCACACUGUAUGAUCCCAGUGGCAGCUGCAAAAAC